UUUUAUUAGAAUUAAUUAAUAAUAAAUCCUGCUCAAUGAAAAUUAAAUAGCCGCUUUUGUGCUAAGGUAGCAUAAUAAUUUGUCUUUUAAUUAAAGACUAGAACAAAAGGUUUAACAUCUCAAUUAAUAUUUUAUAAAAAACUUUUUAAAUUAUUUUAAUUGUAAAAAAACAAUUUUUAAAAAGAAAGACGAUAAGACCCUAUCGAACUUUACUUUAGUUUAACUGGGGAAGUUAAUUAAUUAUCAUUUUAAUUUAAAAAAAUAUACAAUUUGACCUAAUACUAUUAACAAUAUAAUUAAGUUACCGUAGGGAUAACAGCGUAAUAAAAUUUCUAAGAUCUUAUUUAAAAUAAAGAUUGCGACCUCGAUNUUGAUUUAAUAACCUAAUUAACGCAAUAGUUAAUUAAGGAAGUCUGUUCGACUUUUAAAAAAUUACA
rnacentral:rRNA from 1 species